CGCGCAGGUGGUCUAUCAAGUCUGGUGUGAAAGCCCAGGGCUCAACCCUGGAACUGCAUUGGAAACUAGUAGACUUGAGUCCAAGAGGGGUUAGUGGAAUUCCUGGUGUAGGGGUGAAAUCCGUAGAGAUCAGGAGGAACACCAGUGGCGAAGGCGACUGACUGGAUUGGCACUGACACUGAGGCGCGAAAGUGUGGGGAGCAAACAGGAUUAGUUACCCUGGUAGUCC
rnacentral:rRNA from 1 species